rnacentral:rRNA from 1 species
GAUGAACGCUGGCGGCGUGCCUAAUACAUGCAAGUCGAGCGAACGGACGAGAAGCUUGCUUCUCUGAUGUUAGCGGCGGACGGGUGAGUAACACGUGGAUAACCUACCUAUAAGACUGGGAUAACUUCGGGAAACCGGAGCUAAUACCGGAUGAUAUUUUGAACCGCAUGGUUCAAAAGUGAAAGACGGUCUUGCUGUCACUUAUAGAUGGAUCCGCGCUGCAUUAGCUAGUUGGUAAGGUAACGGCUUACCAAGGCAACGAUGCAUAGCCGACCUGAGAGGGUGAUCGGCCACACUGGAACUGAGACACGGUCCAGACUCCUACGGGAGGCAGCAGUAGGGAAUCUUCCGCAAAGGGCGAAAGCCUGACGGAGCAACGCCGCGUGAGUGAUGAAGGUCUUCGGACCGUAAAACUCUGUUAUUAGGGAAGAACAUAUGUGUAAGUAACUGUGCACAUCUUGACGGUACCUAAUCAGAAAGCCACGGCUAACUACGUG